UUCAGCUUACACUUGCUUAC
rnacentral:misc_RNA from 1 species